GAAUAUGAUGCUUGAACGGAUACUGCCGUUGCUGAGUGUGUAGUCUGGUUAGGGUGAAUUAAUGUGUUAUUUACUUAACAUUACAUGCUGUUGUAUAAUGCUUGUUAUAUUGAUUGAGAGACUCACCCUUACACCUAUUUUUCAGGUAACGAGCAGUGAGUUGAGUAGAAGCUAGUGCUAUGGAGUCUAGUGUCGUCCCUAGUGAGUCAUGC
rnacentral:lncRNA from 1 species